GCAUACAUGAUGAAUCCUACGUUUUUACUUACUUAUUUCUGGCAUCUCUAAUGUUAGGGCGGAGUUUAAGUACUGCCGCUCGAUGAAUACACUUCGUUGACAACAUAUCUGAUU
rnacentral:snoRNA from 1 species